GGGACUACUUACCGCUUCCGCUAUUACCGUGCCUCUCCGCACAUCACGAGCCGUCUUGCUAGCAGUUAACACCAUCGGGUCCCGAUUGAAACUGAAAAAAAGUCAAGCAAAUCAACUCCAAUCAUCUCCAAAAUGAACGGACGCGGCGGCAGAGGUAGGGACUUUGGCAGCAGCUGGGGAGGCGGGGACAGGAGGGGCGGUGGCGGCUCGGGCAGCUACCGCAAUAGCCAGCCCGGUGGCAGCCUGCGUAAGCCGGACUGGGACCGCAUCCAGCUGCAGCCCUUCCAGAAGAACUUCUACCACGAGCACCCGAACACAGCCAACCGGUCUCCCCAGGAAGUGGACGCUUAUCGGCAAGCCAACGAGAUCACAGUCAAGGGCCGCGAGGUGCCCAAGCCCAUUCUUCACUUCGAGGAGGGCAACUUCCCCGACUACAUCCUCAAGGCUAUCCAGGCACAGAACUACACCACGCCGACCUGCAUCCAAGCCCAGGGGUGGCCCAUAGCUCUCAGUGGCAAGGACUUCGUGGGCAUCGCCCAGACUGGGUCGGGCAAGACGCUCGGCUACAUCCUCCCGGCCAUUGUGCACAUCAACCACCAGCCAUAUCUGCAGCGUGGUGACGGCCCCAUUGCUCUGGUUCUUGCACCGACGCGUGAGCUCGCCCAACAGAUCCAGCAGGUCGCCUCGGACUUCGGCAAGUACUCCCGGGUGCGCAGUACAUGCGUAUUUGGUGGUGCGCCGAAGGGACCCCAGCUCAGGGAUAUCGAAAGAGGCUCCGAGAUCUGCAUUGCCACGCCCGGCCGCCUGAUAGACUUCCUGGAAGCGGGCAAGAUAAGCCUUCGUCGCUGCACGUACCUGGUGCUGGACGAGGCUGACCGCAUGCUGGACAUGGGCUUCGAGCCACAGAUUCGCAAGAUUGUGGAGCAGAUCCGUCCGGACUGUCAGACCCUGAUGUGGAGUGCCACCUGGCCCAAGGAGGUCCGCUCCUUGGCUGAGGACUUCCUCAAGGACUACAUCCAGAUCAACAUUGGGGCGUUGCAGCUGUGCGCCAACCACCGCAUUCUGCAGAUAAUCGAUGUCUGCCAGGAGACUGAAAAGGAAGACAAGCUCAUGAAAUUGCAUCAAGAAAUUCUCAAUGAAAAGGAAAACAAGACCAUCGUGUUUGCCGAGACAAAGAGGAAAGUCGACGACCUGACCAGGAAGAUGCGCCGCUACGGGUGGCCAGCCAUCUGCAUUCACGGGGACAAGACUCAGCAGGAGCGUGACUGGGUGCUCAAUGAGUUCCGAUCUGGAAGGGCACCCAUCCUUGUUGCAACAGACGUGGCUGCGCGUGGUCUCGAGGCACUUGUGUGGGCCCCAGGUUGUCCAUACGCAGUGCCUCGCUUUGCACUGGGCGGGCCUCCCUGAGCCACAUUUAAAAGGACGGUGGCUUCCAUUGAAGGCCCGGCGGGCGCAAAUGAAUUUCUGGGGAGAAGCAUUGUACUUGCACGAAAAGAGGCGCAGACGUCCAGAUGCGUCUCUGUGCCUCAAGUAACGGCAGUGCAUAUUUUCCAAAUUCAACCUUUAUCCGCUUCUCAACUGGCUUCGCUGGAGCAGCGGUCUGCCUACUCUUCGAAUUGCUCCAUUGGGUGCAACCUUGAGAAUAAUGGGAUUGCAAAAAAUUACGAUUGUUGUAGCAGCCGGGGAAGUUAAAAGGGGCAGAAUCGGACUAGAUUGUGGGUGUGCUUUGGGGCCACCGUUGAAGCGAGGUGGGCAGGAACAUUGUCACACAAUUGGGCCUGUAACGGUGCAUAGCACACCGACAAGUGCAAAAAAGAAACAACGCGGAGGCCGCCGUGGCAGAGUGAGUGGUGCGGCGCCAGGGGUUGUUGGCCUAGGCCGAUGCCGCUGGCUGGCUAACAGAAGGCGGUGCAAAUGAAUAAUGGCCGCUUGACCGGUGGCCGUGCGCGGAGAAGGGGCGCCCUCCUACGCUGUUGAGGCGGCGUCCUGUCUUCCAUGUGCGCACGCACGCCGCCGCCAAACCCACACCACCCCUCUGGCCGACGACUCUGAAGGCCACAGCAUGGCCCUGUCUCUCUCGCAAGGCAGCUGCAGAUGUGGACGACGUGCGGUUCGUGAUCAACUUUGACUACCCCAACUGCUCGGAGGACUACAUUCACCGGAUUGGCCGGACUGCGCGUUCCAACAAGACUGGCACUGCCUACACCUUCUUCACGCCCAACAACAGUCGGCAGGCCAAGGAGCUCAUCUCUGUCCUCCAGGAGGCCAACCAGGUCGUCAACCCCAAACUCUACGAGAUCGCCAAUAACUCCCGAG
rnacentral:misc_RNA from 1 species